UGCUUUCUACAUUAUCGCAACUGCCAGAGCUCUUAGUGCUGCAGUUUUCUAGUCGCAGUGCGGCAAAGCAGACGCAAAGAACCAGGCACAAAGCAGCAUAGAUUUUUUAUUCUCGUCUUUUUAAUACGAGGGAAAUUUUGCUGGAGUUAGCGUAGGAACAGACACACAGCCUGGAUGUGUUGGCUUCAGCCUGGCAGCGUUUUCAGCUGAGCAGGGACUGCUCGGAGCUCUGUACCCAAAUUGCCUCAGAGGAAGAUCGGCUGGUCUCCCACUUUGUGUACUAAGAGUUUUUUUUACGCCACGAUGAUAAACCUGCAGGACUAGCACAAAGGAGAUGGUACCUGUCACUGUGUGUUUGACUGGGGCCUUUGCAGGCGCUCCACUGCUGAAGCUGGGUCAGCGUCCCAGGGUCAUACAUAUCGGUAAUACAGAUUGCCGCAAUUUCCUACAUCAGUCAGAGCAAAGCUCAAACAAGAAACCAGACUCUCUGACCUAAAUCAGUCCCAGUCCUUCUGGAUACAGGGCAGCAGUCGACUAGCGAUGACACAACCAGCCAUCAAGUGGAGAGUCUCUGGGAUUGCAAUCUCUAUCAGUUGGAGCCUGUGAGAAUGAAACACUUUCAGUUAUCCCGUCGCUUCUCCUUCUUCUAAUACUACAAUUACUACAACUACUACAACAGCUACUACUACUACUACUUCUUUUUUUCUUGCCUGUAAGAAGCUAUGAAUUGUGCUUGGUCUCUGAAUGUAUAUCUGUGUGGAUUAGCCUGUCUAUAAUGCAGUCCUUAUCUGCUCUUGCUGGAAAUCAGGGCACAAAGUCAGCCUGCUUUAACAGUUGUUUCUUUCUGCGUGAUGCUAUGCAACUAGGACGGGUUACGCUGACAACAAAGGAACAAGCACAAAGCAUCACUUCAUUUUCUGGACUCUUACAGGAACAUAGCUCUUCUUCGAGAUGACGCCCUCUUCUCUUUUCUUUUCCGUUUUUUUUUUUAUUCAUCUUUUCGAAGAGCCUAAGAGACACCGUUGUGGAUGUGGUUUUUAAUGAUUUGGAAAAGACAGCCUGUGGAGACUGCGAUUUGAGACAGCAACACAUUUAGGUUAUUGCCAAUUUGAAAUACUUGGUUUGUGAAGCACAGCCCUAAGGGACAAGCUCAGUAACUGAGAAAGAGAUUGUAGAUAAAGAAAUAAAAAUGACAAGCGUAAUGGAGGUUCUGCAAAGAGACUGUCAGAGAAUCAGUUCAUGGAUGGCAAUUUCACCAGUCUGAAUCUGAAUAAUUCAUAGAUUGAAAUUACCCUGCUUUCACCUUUCCAUUUAAACCGGCAUGAUCUGAAUCUGUAAUAAAUUUUCAAGAUAAAGUAAAAUGCCAAUCUGAAUCUGAAGAGCUUUUAAAACCAGAUGCUACACCCUGAAUCUUUCGAUACCUUUCACAAUUAUCCUGUGAGAACCGCCCUUCAUCACGAAGCACCAUUACCAGUGAAAAUUACUGUGAUUACAAUAGCAACAAUAGAAUACCAUCAAAUGAUCUCUAAUUUACCUAAUUUACCAAGGCUGACUGUGUGCCCAUUGUGUUUCACAACGUCUGGCAUUGGAUCAAUAUUACAGUGGAACAAAAAUGCCUUAGUAUGCGCUUCCUUUCGGUACCUUUAACUUUGACAGCACAGGAAAAUCUAUCUCCUGUUACGCAUUUUUACAAUCAGAAAAUCUAUGUGCCUGCUGUAGGAUGUGAUUGAUUCUCCAUGAUUUUCUCUAGUUCCUGGGUAUUGGAUGUCAUUAUGGCACUAAUUUGUUUAUAACGUAUACUCGUGCACAAAGACUGCAGCAAAUGAGUAACAGCAUAGAGAAAUCUGCACUGCUACAGCAGUAGCAGCGCUCGCACAGAGGAAGCCAAUACGAGUUCUGUGCCUUAUGUGAAUGAUUACUCGUGUUGGAGUUAGAAAUGCUUUCUAGCACCACUGGUCUUGGUUGUGCUAUACGACAAAGGUACGCAAAAGCCACGGUCAAGGAAAACGAUGGUGUGUGACACUGACAAGAUUUUUGCCCUCUUCAGCAAUUAGUAUGUGAUUGUGAGAGACAGGGUAUGACUCUCUAUGUAAGUGUGUGUAUAUAUGUACAUAUGCAUAUGCAAAUGUAAAGAUAUUAUGCUUUGUGAAUAUGUGCUGAUCAUUGAAAGUAACAACUUUUUCUGACAAGCCAGGCACAGUGCUUUGCCACAAUCUGCUCAGUUGUAACAAAUCUCUGCUUUGGAGGUGUAAAUUCUCUAUAGGACAAUGCAGGACUUCUGGAACAGUGAGUAGCAUUUAUGACAUAUGUUGGUGCCGAUAGCUAGGCUACAGAACAGCAUUCUAAGCAUAGUUUGAGUCCUUCUGUCAUAAUCACGAUGGGGAGAAGUAAGAAAUAUGUGUAGAAGGCUAGAAAUAGGCAUUCUUCGUGGAGACAACUGUAUCUGCUGCCUGUAUGUGUCUGAGUUGUACACUUGAGUUUUGUUUUUCAUGUUAUAACCAGAUCUACUCUGCCUUCAGAGAAUGUUUUCUAAGGAAGGAAGGGGAACAAUAGUGAAGAACUGGCUGCUCCUCUGACCUGCAAGUAAGAAUCCCUUUGGAUUUGAUAGCUGUGGUCUAACAGCUAGAACACUAAGCAGGUAAGCGCUGGACAUUUUUCAAUGUUAAUAUAAUGACUUUCAUCCAAGGAGGAAGAAGCCUUGACAUUUUUUUUUUUAAGCUGAGUUUUGAAGGCCUUGAUUUUACAAAUAAUCCUGAGAUCUCUGACUCGAAUAAAUGUAACACAUGCAAAUACUGGCUUAGAAAGGUAAAUGCGUUGAUAUUCCUGCCAGAAGAGAUUAUUUUCCUUGACCAUAAUUCAUUAUCUUCUGAGAAAUAUUUGAGACAAGUUCAGACAUAGGAAACCUGCAGGCUUUCACUGCAGCAAGGUGAAACCAGCUGAUCAUUCUGAGUUGACAAGAUUGAUUUUAAAGCAAUUCUUUCCCUUCUUUCUGUUUUGCUGGUUGUAGUUAGUAGCAGUAUCUGUCAAACUGGGACAAAGCUUUGUCAUUACUUUCUCCUCUUUGGACAAUGAUAGACUUACUGUGUUGCUCAAGGAAAGGGAUUUGCAAAGAGAAACGUGUCACAGAAAUUAAAACAUACAGUUGAUGGUAAUGCUGUACUACUAAAUUCAAUCUCAUAGAGGUGCAAGGCUAAUUAAGAAGGCAUUAAACUACCCAUGAUAUCAGAUAUCAGUCAUGUUGCUUAAUAUACUGCUGGAAGGUACACGGAACCAAGGGGCUGACGAAAGCAUUGCAAGAACAUAUAUAGAAGAGAAAUACAAUUGCUGCCUGUAAGGACAGUAGGUUUUCAAGGUAAAUUUUAAAUAUGGUAUUCUUGUUUGAACAAAGUUGUUUCACAAGAUGUUUUCAAAUAGCAUGAUUUUGUUAUUAAUACAGUUUCUAUAUAGAAAACAGUUGUUAAACUUUUUAAAAUAGCUUGAGGAGCUUCGGUGAAGAGCAGAGAGUCACCUUCAACAGCUAUUUAUACAGGAAAUUUUUGCAUUAUUCUCUUAAUAUAUUUUUUUUCCUCUCACACAGUACAUUCUGGUGCCAUUUUAAAAUUAAAACCAAUAAAAAUUUUCCAAGGUAAGAAAAUUUAUGUAUCUAUGAGAAUCUUCCCUCCUUCUUAACAAGUUAAUCUAAAAUAAAAAUCAGUUUAGCAUCUAUAUGAACAAGUAUCCAGAAAAUAUUUUCUAGGGAAAACAGAGAGAGAUAUUUUUCAGAUAUUUUCUCUCAGUUUAUUGUGUUGUAUUUUUUUCCACUAGAUUUCUUGAAGCUCUGACUCAAGGUGAACUAGAUCUAUCGUUGCAUCAAAGAAGAUUUGUUAGUAUGGGAAUAGACAAAGUCUUUGGUCUUCUCCACAUUUUGAUACUAUUAUUUCCAUUCUUUACACACUCAAGUUACAUAAGUCCUUUAGAGCACCUCAGUAAAUAUCUCCAUUCCCUAAAAUCAGGGAGAUUAACCUGUUUUAAGAAGUGAAGAGGAUUAAAUUUUUUCGGUAAAGGGGUGAUGGCUGAACAUAUGAUGAAGCAUGGAAGAGAAAAAAAUCCAGGUUGCACUGUAUGUACAACAACAAUUUAGAAGGAUACUCUAAGGACUAUCUAAGUCUAAGGAGUCUAAGUCUAAGGAGUCAAAGUCUAAGGAGUCAGUUUCUCAUUACAAAGGGAGCCGUGGCAACUCAAGGACAAGAGCAGCUGCUGCAGGGAUGGAUGGUUGUGCCUGGGCAUGGAGGCUCUUGCGUCGCCUUCACUGCAGCCUUUGGCCCCUGCUGCCCCUGCGCCAGCACCACCUGCUGCUCCUUCGUCCGUUCGGUAAGAGAUGGAAGUGGCUUAAAAUGAUAGCGCUUACCAUACGGGGCUAUUGGCAAUUUGUUCCUAUUCCCAAUUGGUUGUUUAAUAUUUACAGCAAUUUUAUGAUUUGGGAAGAUUUUCCUGUCUUUUGAGUAACUGCUUAAAAUCAGGGGUUUCAGGGCAUAUAUUAGCCUGCGCAGAUGACAGUGGAGUGUUGUACGCAAUUAGCUAUUGACUUGCGGAUUAACUAAAGAUAGGGCAGGGCGAAUAUUGUGCACAGUACACAUAUGUGACUACUGAAAUGACAUGGCAGGUCACAGAUAUGCUCCCAGAUCCACUGCCCGCGCUUCUCCUCGUCUCCACACGCACAGCUGUGGUGGGGGCGGCUGGUUCACGGGGCAGUUUGGGAUCAUCCCAGCUGCAACUAGGAAGCAAAGGAAACAUUGCACCAGCCGAGAGAGAAACAGCAGUAACGCCGGAGCUACGGGGAGAUGCUGCAGCUCAUGACCGUUUCGAACACCAGAGGUUACUGUAAUUACUAGAAAAACUCAGGAAAUGAACAAGCAAUUCCUCCCUUAAGUACACUUUCUAUAAGAGAGUUGCAAAAUGGUGGAGUUGAAAGGGAGAUAAGGGUGUACGUAUUCUGCGCUGGAGCUGGAUGUGGGUUACUCCCUUUCAGGUGUGUGGUCUAAGCUUCGGGUGAUGGGAGUGGUUCCAUGGUUUUUGAAGUUUUUCUUUUUCUUCUUUUUUCAUCUUCCUUCUGGCAUAUCGCUCUGCUUUCUCAUGAACGGUGUCAUUAGCAGAGCAAUAACCAGAUGUCUCAGCAGGACUGUUUCCAUUUUGCUACCAUAGUAUAUACUUACCCGGGGUCACCAUGCUUUCUCUUGCAUUACGUGUUUUCCCUUCUAUCUGAGCUUCAGCUGAACACACUGGCCCACUGCAUUUGAUUUUAUUUCAAAACCACUAUCAAAAACAAGACAGAAGAAAAAACCUAUCCUUACAAAUCACUCCUAAGUUCACCUCCAAAUUGGAAGCUGCUGCUUCUUUUUUCCCGUCUUGCGAGUUUAUUUCCAGCUUUGUUGAGUCUUUGCAGGUUUUGUAUCUCUUCUAGAGUAGUGGAAAGUGGAUUAGGAUAAACAAGAAUAGGCUCUUAGAGGCUUUCUCUGUGAGUGUCCAGGUUGAAAGUCUCUUUAACAAAUUUAAUUGUUUUAACUAAGAAAAAGGAAUCUUCCAAACCAUUCUACCUUUAGUAGCAGCCCAAAAAAUCCCAGGUGCUCAAACAAAAGGAAAAUAGCAAAAACAUUUAUUACUUAAAUCCAUAUAUUGUUAACAGAAAAGGUACUGUUUAGGUUAUAUGUUUAAGUACUAUAUACAUGAACAUUGAACAAACAUUCCCUUAAAACCAUCUAGUAAGGAAAUAAAAUAAGCAUUUGCAUUUUACUCUUGCACAUAGAUUUAUUAAGAUAAUAUAUGUAUCUUUUUUUAUGCUGAGCCAUUGCUUUACCUCUGCCUCAGCCUGUUCAAGGUGUAUGAAUAUUGACUGUUUAAGGUACACCCUGUGGUGUAUUAUUGCUUACUUAAAGCAUAAUACUGCAUGACCUUGUUUUUUCUGUUAAUUAUGUUUUUCCCUUGUAGGAAAGUAAGUUUACUCAUCCUGAAUCAUGCCAAACCGCAUAAUCUGAAAAGGAAUAUUGUGGCUCUACUUGGAAAGUACUAAUUGGGCUUCUGCCAUCACUGGGAAAGUUGUAUAGUCUUUUAUUAUUUUAACUGGCCAAAUGCCCUUUGUUCCCACAUUAACAGCCUCCCUCUGGUGCCUGUAACUUUGAUAUUAUUUUCACUUUUACGCUAAAUUUCACCAGAUGAAAGACACAAACCCUCCAAUUCUGAAAUAAAAAAUAGCAUGUUUUGUUAAUCUUGUAUUUCAGAGGGAAAGCCUGUGAAAAUGAUAACCUGUGUCUGCUGGCUAAAGUUUUGUUCAGUAAACCCAUUUUGCCAGCUGUUCUCAUUGGCAAGAGGAAACAUAAUAUUUUGGUAUCUUUAAUUUAUCCAUUUCAGAGCAGAAGUUUUGCUUGCGUCAUCAUUUAAAUCAUGCAUGUUAACAACCGCCUGGCAAACAAUACAGCACUUUAUAAAGAUCUGGGUUUGGAUGCUAUCACUAUGAUGUUGCAAUAAAGCUGUUUUAGAAUAUUAAGUGUAACUUAAGAUACUUACUGACUAUGAAAUAUUGCAGGUACUCUGGACUACGCUGCUGGAGAACUGCCCUGGAAGUCCUAAAGAAGACAGUAAAGCAAAGUUUAGGUGCAUUUUAGUCUGGUGCCACUGGGAGUCAAAGAAAGACGCUCCAUACCUCAAAAGAUUGGGCUCUCAGUCACUCGCCUUUUGGCCACAUCCCCUAAGGUGGGCCAGAAAGGAUCAGCAAACAGCAGCUCAGGUCCAGCCCUUAGAGAAAAAUGAGGGAUGGCCUGGGGCUGCUGAGGAACACUGGCGUCUCUAAGAGACAAUAGGCAGUAGGUAAGCUGAAGCCUGAAUGGUUUCAGGCGAACUGGAUCCCACACCUUGGCAGGGAGUUAUUUCUGCAUGUAUUCCAGGAGAGUUCAGCACUAAAGUCUUAGUAGGAAAAAAAAUAUAUUGAUUCUGCAACAAUUUUUUUUGAUCCCUUGACGGUUUCAAGGAUUGCUUAAAAUCGUUAAGGGGCAGGACAAGCAAACCGAUCGGAUGAGGCGAGGUUUCACGUCUUUGCUUGUCUAGAAAUAAAACCUCGCUCACUAAAAAGGAACAUGGGGAAGAUAGAGAAUUCUUUUAAAAUAAGAAUUUCUUUCAUUUGUGCAUUAUUGUAAUUAAAUGCUCCAUGGUGGAUAAUGUUUGUGACCUUUCCAGUAUGUUUCAUAGGGCGAUAGUAUAACCUUCUGCUGUGCUGAAACAGAAUUGGGCUCUUCCAUCUAUUAAAGUUGUCUUAGGCAACUCGGAGAACGCUAUAAUGGCUCCUUUGUAGCCGCUUAUUUGCAUCUAAUAGCGUAGGGCAUAUUUCAAGGAAAACAGGGAUAGUUCCUAUGUUUUGCCUAUUCACUACUGUUGGAACAGCUUGACAUAAAAGCUGGUAAUAAAAUAGACUGGGCCCUUUUGUUAGCAGGGCUCAGCCCAGCAACCGUGCUAAUGAUACCACAAAUGCAAGUACACUUUUGAAUAUGUUUUCCCUGACUUCCCCAGUAUGUCAGUUCAGAAGAAAAUAUUUUUUCAGCUCUAAAUUUCUCCAGAGGCAUAUAAUAAUUCACUGCCUUUUCCUCUUCUCCAGGUUAGCUCUCAUCACCACAGGUACAGCUGCAAGUGGAGACUUUUUAGCUGGAGUUUUCUUGCUUGCUGAACUACUAGAGCCUUUCAGAGUACAUUUCAGCAGCAGUGCAUACCAAAGCUGGAUGUGGAAAACCAUGAAGUAUCUGCACAUACAAGGCUGCAGAUCCACGUUACCCUGUGGGGAUUUACCUGCCAGCUGACAACCCAGCUGCCCUCCUUGCCACAGGUAGCGUGGUCCCACCUUCACCUUUGCAUCGUCUUUGGCACUCCCUGAUGACCAGCCAAUAUUGCCAGUCUUCUAUAUGAAAUACAUUACAGCCAUUGAGCUAAUUCCUGUGGACUCAGUUUCUGGCCUUACUGUAGCACUUCUGUCCGCCCCCUACAGUUUGCCUUAAAAUCCUUUAAUUUUAUUAAUAUCUGAACAGAAAUUUUCUCGAGAAAGAACCUGGAACCACCGAUCAUCUGUAAUGAAAAGUCACACGAUUUUCUACCUGUCACAGUGAGUGGGUCACAGAACAGCAAACAAAGCACAGAUAGAUUAUUAUGAUACAUUAAAAACAUUUAAUCCCACUGUUUUGCAUGUAUUUACAGAAUUAAAUUAUGGAAUUUUUCAAGUUCUUGAGCUAACUUCUGAAUUCCAUUCAAAUAAAAUAGGCCUUAACAUUUCA